AAUGAACGUUGGCGGCAUGGAUUAGGCAUGCAAGUCGAGCGCGAUGUGUAGCAAUACACGGAAAGCGGCGGAAGGGAGAGUAAUACGUGGGAAUCUGCCCUUAGACCUGGGAUAGCAGCGGGAAACUGCUGGUAAUACCAGAUAACGUCUAUGGACAAAAGGUGUGAUUCCGUCUAGGGAUGAGCCCACGUCCUAUUAGCUAGUUGGUAGGGUAAUGGCCUACCAAGGCGAUGAUGGGUAGCGGGUGUGAGAGCAUGACCCGCCUCACUGGGACUGAGACACUGCCCAGACACCUACGGGUGGCUGCAGUCGAGAAUCUUCGGCAAUGGGCGCAAGCCUGACCGAGCGAUGCCGCGUGCGGGAUGAAGGCCUUCGGGUUGUAAACCUCUGUCGAGGGGGAGCAACUUCCAUAGAGUUAUCUUUAUGGAUUGAGUGAUCCCUGGAGGAAGGACGGGCUAAGUUCGUGCCAGCAGCCGCCGUAAUAC
rnacentral:rRNA from 1 species